rnacentral:rRNA from 1 species
AUUGAACGCUGGCGGCAUGCCUUACACAUGCAAGUCGAACGGCAGCACGGGUGCUUGCACCUGGUGGCGAGUGGCGAACGGGUGAGUAAUAUAUCGGAACGUACCUUAUGGUGGGGGAUAACGCAGCGUAAGCUGUGCUAAUACCGCAUAAUCCCUUAGGGGGAAAGCGGGGGACAGUAAGGCCUCGCGCAAUUAGAGCGGCCGAUACCUGAGUAGCUAGUUGGUGAGGUAAAGGCUCACAAGGGCGACGAUCCGUAGCUGGUCUGAGCGGACGAUCAGCCACACUGGGACUGAGACACGGCCCAGACUCCUACGGGAGGCAGCAGUGGGGAAUUUUGGACAAUGGGGGCAACCCUGAUCCAGCAAUGCCGCGUGAGUGAAGAAGGCCUUCGGGUUGUAAAGCUCUUUUGUCAGGGAAGAAACAGCAGCUCUAACACAGUAUGCGAAUGACGGUACCUGAAGAAUAAGCACCGGCUAACUACGUGCCAGCCGCCGCAGUAA